rnacentral:sRNA from 1 species
GUUGUUCUUCUUCUUCUCGUAUCCGAU